rnacentral:lncRNA from 1 species
GAGCCUCAUUCUUUUGGAAUAGUUUUCCUGGAAAAUGCGUGGUUAAAUUUUUUUUUUUAAAUCAACUAAUGUGUAAAAUUAAUUUAUUGAAGAAUGUGUGGUUGAAAUUGAGUUUUGAAACAAUGAGUCUUUGGUAAAAUGGAGCUCAAACAAGGGCUAAGUGCUUUCACCAUUACAUUGUGUCCACUUACUUUUAUAGUAAUCUAUCCAACAAAGUAAAGCAUUAGCUCAAGAAGACUUAAGACAGCUUGAAAUUGAAGAUGUAGCUAGCAUAAUAUUAUACGCCAUUCAGAAAAAAGGGUUUCUAGUCUCAAGAAGCCCACAUCACAAGAUUUCAAUUACUCCUGACCUUUUUGAGCUGGUAAGCGAGCCUGCAUUAAGCUCUACCACCAAAGUUCAUUUUUAUCGAAAGCUUUAAAAAAUGACCUUUGCAUUUGGUAAAGCACGCUUAAAUUUGUUCGUCUCUAUCAAAAUCCCAAAAUUCUUCGUCAGCAAGUUUCUCUAAUGGCCAUUUCAGCCUGAUCACCAUCCUAUCAAGCUUCGGCGAUUUCUCUAAUAAAAGCUUGACGAGUGUCAUCUCAAGAACUGUUGAAGAAAUACAUUCCAGCUUCACU